rnacentral:rRNA from 2 species
UUGCCCUAGUAACGGCGAGUGAAGCGGCAAGAGCUCAAAUUUGAAAGCUGGCUCCUUCGGGGUCCGCAUUGUAAUUUGCAGAGGAUGCUUCGGGAGCGGUCCCCAUCUAAGUGCCCUGGAACGGGCCGUCAUAGAGGGUGAGAAUCCCGUCUGGGAUGGGGUGCCCGCGCCCGUGUGAAGCUCCUUCGACGAGUCGAGUUGUUUGGGAAUGCAGCUCUAAUUGGGUGGUAAAUUUCAUCUAAAGCUAAAUAUUGGCCGGAGACCGAUAGCGCACAAGUAGAGUGAUCGAAAGAUGAAAAGCACUUUGAAAAGAGAGUUAAACAGCACGUGAAAUUGUUGAAAGGGAAGCGCUUGCGAUCAGACUCGCCCGCGGGGUUCAGCCGGCAUUCGUGCCGGUGUACUUCCCCGUGGGCGGGCCAGCGUCGGUUUGGGCGGCCGGUCAAAGGCCCCUGGAAUGUAACGCCUCUCGGGG